rnacentral:rRNA from 1 species
AAACGUAGGGGGCGAGCGUUGUCCGGAAUUACUGGGCGUAAAGCGCGUGUAGGCGGAAACUUAAGUCAGGUGUGAAAACUCGGGGCUCAACCCCGAGCCGGCAUCUGAAACUGGGUUUCUUGAGGGUGGGAGAGGAAAGUGGAAUUCCUAGUGUAGCGGUGAAAUGCGUAGAUAUUAGGAGGAACACCAGUGGCGAAGGCGACUUUCUGGACCAUACCUGACGCUGAGACGCGAAAGCGUGGGGAGCAAACAGGAUUAGAUACCCUGGUAGUCCACGCCGUAAACGAUGGGUACUAGGUGUAGGAGGUAUCGACCCCUUCUGUGCCGCAGCUAACGCAUUAAGUACCCCGCCUGGGGAGUACGGCCGCAAGGUUGAA